UACGGAGGGUGCGAGCGUUGUCCGGAAUCAUUGGGCGUAAAGGGCGCGUAGGUGGCGCGGUAAGCGUGCGGUGAAAGCCUGGGGCUCAACCCCGGGUCGGCCGUGCGAACUGCUGGGCUUGAGCACUGUAGAGGCAGGCGGAAUUCCGGGUGUAGCGGUGGAAUGCGUAGAGAUCCGGAAGAACACCGGUGGCGAAGGCGGCCUGCUGGGCAGUUGCUGACACUGAGGCCCGACAGCGUGGGGAGCAAACAGG
rnacentral:rRNA from 1 species